rnacentral:tRNA from 1 species
GCCGGUGUGAUGGAAUUGGCAGACGUGCUGGACUCAAAAUCCAGUGGUGGCAACACCGUGUCGGUUCGACCCCGACCACCGGCACCA